AACGAACGCUGGCGGCAGGCCUAACACAUGCAAGUCGAACGGACAUCUUCGGCCUUUAGCGGCGGACGGGUUAGUAACGCGUUGGAACAUGCCCUUUUAUUCGGAAUAUCCUCGGGAAACUAUGAGUAAUACCUGAUGUACCCUUUGGGGGAAAGAUUUAUCGGCAAAGGAUCGGCUCGCGUUGGUUUAGGUUGUUGGUUGGGUAAUGUCCUAACAAGCCGACGAUCCAUAGCUGGUUUGAUAGGUGGAUCAGCCACACUGGGACUGAGACACGACCCAGAAUCCUACGGGAGGAAGCAGUGGAGAAUAUAAGAGAAGGAGGGAAACCGUGAUAUAGCCAUGCGGCGUGAGCGAUGAAGGCGUUAGGGUUGUAAAGCUCUUUCAGCGGGAAAGAGAAUGACGGUACCGGGAGAAGAAGCCCCGGCUAACUCCGUG
rnacentral:rRNA from 1 species